rnacentral:rRNA from 1 species
CGUAGGUGGCAAGCGUUGUCCGGAUUUAUUGGGUUUAAAGGGUGCGUAGGCGGCUUUGUAAGUCAGUGGUGAAAUACUCCAGCUCAACUGGAGAGGUGCCAUUGAUACUGCAGAGCUAGAGUACUGAUGAGGUAGGCGGAAUGGACGGUGUAGCGGUGAAAUGCUUAGAUAUCGUCCAGAACACCGAUAGCGAAGGCAGCUUACUAAAGAGUAACUGACGCUGAGGCACGAAAGUGUGGGGAUCAAACAGGAUUAGAUACCCUGGUAGUCCACACUGUAAACGUUGAUCACUAGAUGUUGGCGAUACACUGCCAGCGUUCCAGCAAAAGCGAUAAGUGACCCACCUGGGGAGUACGCCCGCAAGGGUG